ensembl:misc_RNA 7SK 7SK RNA
GGAGGUGAGCAUGAUUGGUUGCGACAUCUGUCACCCCAUUGGUCACCAGGGUUGCUGUGGCUGAUCUGGCUGGCUAGGCAGGGAUCCCCUUCCUCCCCCACCACUCCAUGUGCAUCCCUCCCGAAGCUGUGCGCUGGGUCAGAGAGAUGGCCUUCUCCCAAAUAGAGACGGACUAGUCUUUGGUCAAGGGUAUACAAGUAGCUGUGCUCCCCUGCUAGAACCUUCAAACAAGCUCUCAAGGUCCAUUUGUAGAAUCUAGAGUAGUAAAGCUUCCAAGACUCCAGACAUAUCCAGAUGAGGUGCUGUAAGUGGCAGACUGCCUUUCU